rnacentral:rRNA from 1 species
UGGGGAAUAUUGGACAAUGGGCGCAAGCCUGAUCCAGCAAUGCCGCGUGUGUGAAGAAGGCCUUCGGGUUGUAAAGCACUUUUAUCAGGAGCGAAACGCUGUCGGCUAAUACCCGGCGGAACUGACGGUACCUGAGGAAUAAGCACCGGCUAACUUCGUGCCAGCAGCCGCGGUAAUACGAAGGGUGCAAGCGUUAAUCGGAAUUACUGGGCGUAAAGCGUGCGUAGGCGGUUUCUUAAGUCUGCUGUGAAAUCCCCGGGCUCAACCUGGGAAUGGCAGUGGAUACUGGGAGGCUAGAGUGUGUCAGAGGGUGGUGGAAUUCCCGGUGUAGCAGUGAAAUGCGUAGAGAUCGGGAGGAACAUCAGUGGCGAAGGCGGCCACCUGGGACAACACUGACGCUGAGGCACGAAAGCGUGGGGAGCAAACAGGAUUAGAUACCCUGGUAGUCCACGCCCUAAACGAUGCGAACUGGAUGUUGGUCUCAACUCGGAGAUCAGUGUCGAAGCUAACGCGUUAAGUUCGCCGCCUGGGGAGUACGGUCGCAAGACUGAAACUCAAAGGAAUUGACGGGGUCAUAGCUGUUUCCUG